rnacentral:rRNA from 1 species
AUACCCGCUGAACUUAAGNAUAUCAAUAAG